rnacentral:rRNA from 1 species
UACAGAGGGUGCAAGCGUUAAUCGGAUUUACUGGGCGUAAAGCGUGUGUAGGUGGCCGCGUAAGUCGAUUGUGAAAUCCCUGGGCUCAACCUGGGAAUUGCAGUCGAUACUGCGUGGCUCGAGUUCGGUAGAGGGCAGCAGAAUUCCCGGUGUAGCGGUGAAAUGCGUAGAUAUCGUAAGGAAGACCAGUGGGCGAAGGCGGACUUCCUGGCCCUGUUCUUGACGCUGAGGCGCGAAGCUAAGGUAGCAACGAGGA